GCCAAGCGCGGUGACAUGAGCCUACAGCAGCAGCACAGCCCAGCUCUUCCCAGGCCACGGAUGGAGGGAUGAAUAUUACCAUAGAAGAUAAAGAUCAAAACCAGAUACAAGAGGCGAUAACAAAAUACCCAACCUCUAACCUCACCGGCAGGAGGUGGAUCGUUUUAGAGAAAUGACUGGCUCUGAUCAGAAGUACGGUCAGCGGGGUCGGAUGAAUCCAUGAGGUUUUUAUCAGAACCAUUGCUCCGUUGUGUCGGUCUCAGCGAUGGGAAGCACCGGGCACCUGGAGCUGGGAAGGGUGCGGGGACCACAUGAACCAGCCGCUGCUGGCUAAGGCUGCAGGAACCGCACCAGGUUUUGUGUAGAACGUGGGGGAAAGCUGAGAAUGGGCCUUCUGUAGGAAGAUUGGCUUGAAACUUCAGGUUUUAUCCUCUGUUAGUGGGAAAUCUGUAAAAUACGGUGAGCCAGAACCCGGCAGGACAUUUUUGGAAACCAGUAUCUGCCCAGGAGAAGCGCUUGGGGUUUGGCCUGGCCAGUUUUAAGCUGGGGAUGUUUUUACAAGCUAAACUGACCCUGUUGAGGGCAGCAAAUACAUCCUGCUUUGCGUGAGAGGUGGUAGCACCCAAUCCUGGCUUCACAGAGCUUAAAUUCCAGUUUCCUUGGACAAAGCACAGGACCGUUGGCGUCUCUUUCAUGGUGACUGAAGCACUCUGAGCUAGAAGUGGGACCGAAAAAAAGGAGAAGAUUCAAUUCAAAUAGAGUUGGAAGAUGGAGGCCAGCAGAGAGAAAUGGAAGAGUCAACUUUUUAAACAGGAAAGAAAGAAGGCUAUAACCUAAAAACCCACAAAACCUGAAGGACCUCCUGAGUCCUCUGCCAUCCUCUGCAGCAGGACACCCUCCAAACACAUCUGGACACUGGGAUACACCUGCUGUGUGGUGGCUUAGACCAAAUACCCCUGAAAGCUUUCUCCACCUCGAUAGAACGUUUAUUCACAAAAGGUGCCAGCAACCAAGGAGUCAAUGUGAGAUCGCUGGAGAACACCCGUUAAUUGGUUUCAGAAGAUCUUCAAACAGGACUCGGAAACAAAUCAAACCGGUGUAAGGUAACUGUAAAAUUUAUGGUUCAAAAUUAAAUUAUGCGGUACUUGUUAAACAUAAUAUUUUAAACUUCUGUGGAAGCAUCACAAGGCUU
rnacentral:lncRNA from 1 species